CACAAAUAUUCAGACAGACAGCACAUAUAUGUAUUAAUACAUAGAAAGAACAUGCAGAAUAAAAGCUAAGCAAGAUAUAUAUUAAAACAAAUGUCAAAUAUCAGCACAUAUAUAGUAGCACAUAGUAUUUAUAUUGGAGUAGCGCAUGCAAAAUUAAACACUAUAAGCACAAACAAAAGACUGCAUGCAGCUAUAGCAAAGGUAAUGCAUAAGCAAAAUAAAUAAAUAGCUAAAUAAAAAAUAAAAAUAACUGCAAAGAGAUAAAACAUAAAAAAAAAAAAAAAAAAAAAAAAAAAAAAGCAGGCUUCGAGAUCAAGUUAUGAGGCAGCAAGUAAGUACAUUAUUUACAAGAACUGCAUGUA
rnacentral:lncRNA from 1 species